rnacentral:rRNA from 1 species
CCUACGGGUGGCAGCAGUGGGGAAUAUUGGGCAAUGGAGGAAACUCUGACCCAGCAACGCCGCGUGAAUGAUGAAGGUCUUCGGAUUGUAAAGUUCUUUUCUAAGGGAAGAAGAAAGUGACGGUACCUUAGGAAUAAGCCUCGGCUAACUACGUGCCAGCAGCCGCGGUAAUACGGAGGAGGCAAGCGUUAUCCGGAAUGGCUGGGUGUAAAGGGUGCGUAGGUGGUUUGGUAAGUUAGGAGGGUAAUUCCGGGGCUCAACCUCGGCCCUGCUACGAAAACUGUCGGACUUGAGUGCAGGAGGGGCAACUGGAAUUCCUGGUGUAGCGGUGGAAUGCGUAGAUAUUAGGAAGAACACCGGUGGCGAAGGCGGGUUGCUGGAGUGUAACUGACACUGAGGCACGAAAGCGUGGGGAGCGAACAGGAUUAGAUACCCCAGUAGUC